GGAGAACAGUAGAAAAUCGCUGGACUGAGUCUAUAUGCACAGGUGGUGCUGGUGUCAGCGAUGCUGAUGGUGUCGGUCUUUACGCUGGCGCAGCCUGCGGACGCCGCUGCCCUUGGCGGAGCGCAUGCUAAGGAGCUGCCGCCGUCGGUGGAUGAGGAUUCCCUAAUUGCUGUCGAUUUGUCGGGCGCCGUGGACGGCAUAAGUGACGUCGCUCAUCAUUUUCUCGGUACCGGCCUCUUCGACUUGAACACGCGCAGUGGGAAAGCUCCGGCAGGUCGGUCUGCUCACAGUUCCAUCAAGAGGCGUCACUCGUAAUCGAGGAAAUGACAUUAGCACUUCUGCACGCGGGCUAGCGUGUGCAACAAUGGUUAUGAAUAAAAUACUGUUGUACUGAUGGCUUUUA